rnacentral:rRNA from 1 species
GACGAACGCUGGCGGCGUGCUUAACACAUGCAAGUCGAGCGGUAAGGCCCUUCGGGGUACGACGAGCGGCGAACGGGUGAGUAACACGUGGGUGACCUGCCCUCCACUUCGGGAUAAGCCCGGGAAACUGGGUCUAAUACCGGUUAGGACCUCCUCAUGCAUGUGGGGUGGUGGAAAGCUUGUGUCUUUGAUGCUUGCGGUGGGGGAUGGGCCCGCGGUCUAUCAGCUUGUUGGUGGGGUGAGGCCUACCAAGGCGACGACGGAUAGCCGGCCUGAGAGGGUGAUCGGCCACACUGGGACUGAGACACGGCCCAGACUCCUACGGGAGGCAGCAGUGGGGAAUCUUGCGCAAUGGGCGGAAGCCUGACGCAGCAACGCCGCGUGGGGA